GGAAAUCACUUAGUAAGAGGAAAGGCAGACCUUUGCCCCGGCUCCACUCACAGGCUCAAAGCCCUCCAGAUGUUCCACAAGAUGGAAGCAAAACGUCUUUCCUGUCUGCAGCAUCUUUCUCUGCUCUAGCCAAGAGGAACCACACAGACUGCCUGGGACUACCUACAGCUUUUGAACUUUACCUCUCUGCUUGCCAAGAGCCCUCUAUGCCUGCUUCUCCAAACAUCUUAAUCCUUCUUGUACUUCAAGGUUCAACUGAAAUCUCAUCUAUUCUGGAAACUCUUCCUUCAUCAUCGAACUGA
rnacentral:lncRNA from 1 species